CUGAACGAAAAAUUAGCUUCUUUGGCUGGUCUUCUUCCUGCCAGUGGUGACCUCGCCGCCGAUCUGCUUUCGUAUUCUCCUUGUAACCUUUUCCUCAUCAUUGCUACUACUUUCUUAUGUAGUCAUCUAAAGAGGGAUAAUUGCUUGGAAGAAGCAUAACAUCAACCAUCAGGUCAGAAUCCUCAAACCAAUCUGUAUAAGGAACUGCUUUGAUGAGUUGUGAUUGCAUGAUAGCAUAAUAGGUUAUAAGAGAAUCAAUUAUAAGUUUAGGUACUUUUUAAUUAUAUUACAGCAUUUGAAAUGUUGUUUUGAACAAUAAUAAUACAUAGAAAUGGCUUAUAAAUUUAUGCUUCUGAAGGUUUAUCAUACUUUGUCGAAGCAGAGAAGAAAGACUUAGGAGUUCUUGUACUUGAUUUUGGGUCCUUGACAAGCAUUUAUGAUAGUUAGCUUUAUUCAGGCUCUUCAUUGGUGAUUUUUCUAAAUUUGAACACUGUGGGAUACAAAAUUUAUUGCAGAAUUUGAGAUUCUGUACUGACAGAUUCUUAUGCUACUUAAAGUCUUCUAUGCAGCUUUGAAAGUCUUUUUGGCUUGGGUAGUUUUAGAGGAAUAGGGCUAAAGCUAAAGCCUUUCAAUUAAGGUCUGAUCAAAUUAAGGCAGUAGAAAUCCUUAGCAGUUUCUGCAUAAUCUUAGAAACAUUAGAUAGUCUUUGCUUGAUGUGCACAUAUGAAAGUUAAACUCGAUUGGCCUCAAGAGCUGCAUUGAGACUACAAUUAUGGUAAGUUUAUCUUUAUGCUCUAAAUUUGAACUCUUGCCACCGCAUACAAAUUUCAGAUUCCAAAUUUACAAUUGGCUUAAUUGUAUUUGAAUAAUGUAAGUAGCUGCUGCCCUGUUUUCUUGAAACUUUAGUACUUUAAAUGAUUUAUUUUUUUCCAAUUCUUCUUGACAGUGUGUUUUUUUUUUUAUUUGACAAAGCUAUGCAAGAGACACUAUUAUCACCAUUCACAGUCCACCAACCAUCCCAUCCCUGUUCAGGAGGAGUUGUUCUGGGAUUUUCAUGGUUUCUAAAUCUAAGUAAAUAGCAAAGCUUUUCCAAGAGAAGGUCCGAUCAAAUUAAGGCAGUAGAAAUCCUUAGCAGUUUAUGCAAAAUCUUUUAGAAACAGUAAAUAAUCUUGGCUUGAUGUGCCUAUAUGAAAGUCAAACUUUAUUGAUCUCAAGGGUUUUGUCUGAGACUACAAUUAUGGACAGACAAACCAAUCUAUAAUUCUGUGAGAAUUGCUCACCAUGUCUUCUCCUUACAUUUUUUUU